UGAGUUUUUAGUAUAAUUUUUAAUAUAAAUGAUUGCAAACCAUUAGAUUAAUAGCUUU
rnacentral:tRNA from 1 species